GACGAACGCUGGCGGCGCGCCUAACACAUGCAAGUCGAACGAGCGAGAGAGAGCUUGCUUUCUCGAGCGAGUGGCGAACGGGUGAGUAACGCGUGAGGAACCUGCAUCAAAGAGGGGGACAACAGUUGGAAACGACUGCUAAUACCGCAUAAGCCCACAGCUCGGCAUCGAGCAGAGGGAAAAGGAGCAAUCCGCUUUGAGAUGGCCUCGCGUCCGAUUAGCUAGUUGGUGAGGUAAUGGCCCACCAAGGCGACGAUCGGUAGCCGGACUGAGAGGUUGAACGGCCACAUUGGGACUGAGACACGGCCCAGACUCCUACGGGAGGCAGCAGUGGGGAAUAUUGCACAAUGGGGGAAACCCUGAUGCAGCGACGCCGCGUGGAGGAAGAAGGUCUUCGGAUUGUAAACUCCUGUUGUUGAGGAAGAUAAUAACGGUACUCAACAAGGAAGUGACGGCUAACUACGUGCCAGCAGCCGCGGUAAAACGUAGGUCACAAGCGUUGUCCGGAAUUACUGGGUGUAAAGGGAGCGCAGGCGGGAAGGCAAGUUGGAAGUGAAAUCCAUGGGCUCAACCCAUGAACUGCUUUCAAAACUGUUUUUCUUGAGUAGUGCAGAGGUAGGCGGAAUUCCCGGUGUAGCGGUGGAAUGCGUAGAUAUCGGGAGGAACACCAGUGGCGAAGGCGGCCUACUGGGCACCAACUGACGCUGAGGCUCGAAAGUGUGGGUAGCAAACAGGAUUAGAUACCCUGGUAGUCCACACUGUAAACGAUGAUUACUAGGUGUUGGAGGAUUGACCCCUUCAGUGCCGCAGUUAACACAAUAAGUAAUCCACCUGGGGAGUACGACCGCAAGGUUGAAACUCAAAGGAAUUGACGGGGGCCCGCACAAGCAGUGGAGUAUGUGGUUUAAUUCGACGCAACGCGAAGAACCUUACCAAGUCUUGACAUCCUGCGACGGUGCUGGAAACAGUACUUUCCUUCGGGACGCAGAGACAGGUGGUGCAUGGUUGUCGUCAGCUCGUGUCGUGAGAUGUUGGGUUAAGUCCCGCAACGAGCGCAACCCUUAUGGUCAGUUACUACGCAAGAGGACUUUGGCCAGACUGCCGUUGACAAAACGGAGGAAGGUGGGGAUGACGUCAAAUCAUCAUGCCCUUUAUGACUUGGGCUACACACGUACUACAAUGGCGUUAAACAAAGAGAAGCAAGACCGCGAGGUGGAGCAAAACUCAGAAACAACGUCCCAGUUCGGACUGCAGGCUGCAACUCGCCUGCACGAAGUCGGAAUUGCUAGUAAUCGCAGAUCAGCAUGCUGCGGUGAAUACGUUCCCGGGCCU
rnacentral:rRNA from 1 species